rnacentral:rRNA from 1 species
AUGUUAAGGGUUGAAGGCCGGGACUUCAGUUUUGGACCCCCUCACAGCUCUGUGGAGGAGCCUGGGCAGGAUGCUCCUGUACCUGUCCUCCUCCCUCUUCUCCAGCAGGUAGGCGAUGAUUUCUUCCACCUCCGAUUUAACAUCGAAGUAGAGCUCGGUCGCGGCCCGCCGGUCGGUGAGCACGUCCUGCCGCCCCCUCGUCGGGAUCGGCUUCCCGAACCGGUAGUAGAACCGGCCGGGGAUCUUUGGGACUGCGCCGGGGAAGAUCACCUCCUGAGUGUCCCUGCAGCAGAAACCAACCAACCUUAG